AGCGAGCGGUUUCGAUGAAGUUUUCGGAUGGAAUUGAAAUUGACUUAGCGGCGGACGGGUGAGUAACGCGUGGGUAACCUGCCUUACACUGGGGGAUAACAGUUAGAAAUGACUGCUAAUACCGCAUAAGCGCACAGGGCCGCAUGGUCUGGUGUGAAAAACUCCGGUGGUGUAAGAUGGACCCGCGUCUGAUUAGGUAGUUGGUGGGGUAACGGCCCACCAAGCCGACGAUCAGUAGCCGACCUGAGAGGGUGACCGGCCACAUUGGGACUGAGACACGGCCCAAACUCCUACGGGAGGCAGCAGUGGGGAAUAUUGGACAAUGGGCGAAAGCCUGAUCCAGCGACGCCGCGUGAGUGAAGAAGUAUUUCGGUAUGUAAAGCUCUAUCAGCAGGGAAGAAAAUGACGGUACCUGACUAAGAAGCCCCGGCUAACUACGUGCCAGCAGCCGCGGUAAUACGUAGGGGGCAAGCGUUAUCCGGAUUUACUGGGUGUAAAGGGAGCGUAGACCGUUAAGCAAGUCUGAAGUGAAAGCCCGGGGCUCAACCC
rnacentral:rRNA from 1 species